GGGGGCGUACUGGUUUCGACUGGGUGGAUACGUCUGGGGUAGCAUGCCGAGGAUGGUACGUUGGCCUCGUUAAUCAUCGGACCAAAAAAAUAACUGCUAACGAAGAAUUAGCUCUCGCGGCAUAAAGUCCGCGACGUCUCACUGCUGACACCUGCUAGGUAGAUGAGGCGCCGACAGCAGGUUAGGCACUGAGCGGAGACCGCGCGUGAUGGGCCGAAACUGAUUUCAUGCGGACUAGGCAGGAGGUCUCGCGCCAGACCGCUAUCCUUUCUGCCGAUACCGAUUGUCUGGACAAGCAUGUAGAAGCUUCACGGCACGUCUGCUUAGGACGCGGGUUCAACUCCCGCCGCCUCCACCA
rnacentral:tmRNA from 3 species